UAGGGAAUCUUCGGCAAUGGGGGGAACCCUGACCGAGCAACGCCGCGUGAGUGAAGAAGGUUUUCGGAUCGUAAAGCUCUGUUGUUAAGGAAGAACGAGUGUGAGAAUGGAAAGUUCAUACUGUGACGGUACUUAACCAGAAAGGGACGGCUAACUACGUGCCAGCAGCCGCGGUAAUACGUAGGUCCCGAGCGUUGUCCGGAUUUAUUGGGCGUAAAGCGAGCGCAGGCGGUUAGAAAAGUCUGAAGUGAAAGGCAGUGGCUCAACCAUUGUAGGCUUUGGAAACUGCUUAACUUGAGUGCAGAAGGGGAGAGUGGAAUUCCAUGUGUAGCGGUGAAAUGCGUAGAUAUAUGGAGGAACACCAGUGGCGAGGGCGACUCUCGGGUCUGUAACUGACGCUGAGGCUCGAAAGCGUGGGUAGCAAACAGG
rnacentral:rRNA from 1 species